UACUAUGACCCACAUGUGCUGACCU
rnacentral:piRNA from 1 species